AAGGCUUUAAGUUAACCAAACUAGUAGCCUUCAAAGCUGAAAAUGAAAAUAAAUUUUUAGGCCUUA
rnacentral:tRNA from 1 species